UACGUAGGUGGCAAGCGUUAUCCGGAAUUAUUGGGCGUAAAGAGCGCGCAGGUGGUUGAUUAAGUCUGAUGUGAAAGCCCACGGCUUAACCGUGGAGGGUCAUUGGAAACUGGUCGACUUGAGUGCAGAAGAGGGAAGUGGAAUUCCAUGUGUAGCGGUGAAAUGCGUAGAGAUAUGGAGGAACACCAGUGGCGAAGGCGGCUUCCUGGUCUGUAACUGACACUGAGGCGCGAAAGCGUGUGGAGCAAGCAGGAUUA
rnacentral:rRNA from 1 species